rnacentral:rRNA from 1 species
UACGUAGGGCGCAAGCGUUAUCCGGAAUUAUUGGGCGUAAAGAGCUCGUAGGCGGUUUGUCGCGUCUGCCGUGAAAAGUCCGGGGCUCAACUCCGGAUCUGCGGUGGGUACGGGCAGACUAGAGUGAUGUAGGGGGAGACUGGAAUUCCUGGUGUAGCGGUGAAAUGCGCAGAUAUCAGGAAGAACACCGAUGGCGAAGGCAGCUCUCUGGGACGGUACUGACGCUGAGACGCGAAAGCGUGGGGAGCGAACAGG